rnacentral:lncRNA from 1 species
GGUUUUUGCCAACGAAGACAAACAGGGAGAUGAAGAUGAAACACAGAGACAUAAAAGAGUCGCUUAGGGAAAUGAUAAAGAGAAGGGAGAAGGCAAUUAAAGCAGGGGAAGAGAGCAAUGAGGACUUGUUGGACAUACUUGUGGAAUCCAAUAUCAGAGAAAUGGAAGCAAAGAAUAUGGGGAUGAGCAUUGAGGAUGUGAUUGAGGAAUGCAAGCUGUUUUACUUUGCUGGCCAAGAGACCACUUCGGUCUUACUGGUGUGGACUAUGGUUUUAUUAGCAAGGUAUCCCGAUUGGCAAAGUAAAGCAAGAGAGGAGGUUUUGCAUGUUUUGGGUGACAAUAAACCUGAUGCUGAUGGCCUUAAUCGUCUCAAAGUUGUAAGUCCCUAGCAUGUCUUUUGAAGGUCCGAUCAAUGAGGUCGACAACUCAAAAACUUUGUUUCUUUUUUCGCUAAUUCUACAGGUAACGAUGAUAUUGUACGAGGUUCUAAGGCUGUACCCACCGGUGGUUGAGCUAGGACGUUCCGUUCCAAAAGAAAUAAAACUGGGGAAUUUGUUGUUACCAGUAGGAACAGAAGUUUCGGUUCCGAUCCUGCAGAUCCACCAUGACAAAGAUCUUUGGGGUAACGACGCACGGGAAUUUAAGCCAGAGCGGUUCGCGGAAGGGGUUUCCAAAGCAACAAAGAGUCAAGUCACGUUUCUGCCAUUCGGAUGGGGUCCUAGGAUCUGUAUUGGCCAAAAUUUUGCUUUGAUGGAAGCCAAAAUGGCGAUGGCUAUGAUUCUCCAACGCUUCUGGUUCGAGCUUUCCCCUUCCUAUGCUCACUCUCCUUACAGCAGGGGAACUCUUCGUCCACAGCAUGGUGCACAGAUAAUUUUACAUAAACUUGGCUGUAAUUGAAUUGUUAUGUAAACAAAUCUUUGUGAAAACAUAGCGUUUUAGUGUAUCGUCAAAGUCCGGUGUCUGUAAUGGUACAAAUUCGAUGCAUGAAUAGUAAAUUUUGAGAUGUUUGGUGAAGUCCGAAAUAAUAUGCAGAAAUUGAGCGUCUAUGGUGGACAUAGUUGAGGGACUAAUGUGGUAAUUAUCAAUCAAAUAAUUCGGUACAAAGACUUGUAUGGAAAUUAAAGCAGGGGGAGUUGAAAAUGACUACUCUGCUUUGGGCAUCAAUUUAGAAAGAUUUAAAGUACAACUGUGUUAUCAGUUAAGGGAUUUGUUUUAAAGAGGGAAUGACAAUUAAACCUCAUGGUUUAUUUGUGCAAGGGAACCGAUGAUGGGAUGAUUAUUCUUAGUGGUAAAAAAAACCAUUAUGGAGGUUAUUACACUUGUUAUCAUCAGCUUAAAAUUCGAAUGGGUUCAAGUCGGAUUAUAUCGAGCUUGUAAGAUGAGUUCACGGACCAAGUUUGCAUAAUAAAAUACCUAAAUGAAAAAAAAUUCUAUUUUAGAGGGACGAGAGCCCCUAUCAACUCCCGGCUCAGCCACUAAACAAUACCUAUAUCAUAUAAAUAAAUACCACCAUCUAAAAGACUCAAAGAAAAACACUCAACAAAGGAUAAAUAGAUAGAUGUUGGAUAAGUGUCCAAAAUAUGAUUUAAGUGAAGAUACAUGUGGUAGGUGUUACGGAAAUGUGAAGACAAGAAUCCCACUAACGUAUGGGAUGUGUGCAGUUGAAUGUAGGGAGCAAAAAGAGGAGUGAAUCAUUUUGGUAACAUUUGGACAAGAAACAUAAUGAACAAAAUGGAAGGAGAGGAAGCUAGUAAAAGAAUUUUUUUGGGUCAUAUAAUUUGUUCAUUUUGGAGUUGAAUUAUAAUUUUUUUAUAUAUUAUUUUAAAAUUUUAAGGAGUUAAAACAAAAUUAUUUUAUUUUCAGAUGGUCAAAGUAGAGGUGAUAAUGGGUUGGGCUAUUCGGCCCGGCCUGACGAUUCACUCGAAAAAUAGGAGGGUUUAGGUAAAAAUAUAGGCUCGAAAUAGGGAUUUGAGCAAAAAAAGAGUCCCGUUUAGAAAAUGGGCCAGGCCUCGGGUAAAAUUUUUUGGGCCCAAGCCUGACCUGAAUUAUAUAUUAAAUAUAUUUUUUAAUUUUUAAUCAAAUAUACUUUUUUUUAUUAAUUUGGUUAUUAUUUUAGUUCUAAUUUGUUUCAAUUUUAAUAUAACCACUUUUUAUUAUAUUUUCAAUUUGUGUAUUGUUUUAAGAAUUGUUUUAGUCUCAUUUUUUUAUUUAUUUUUUGUUUUAAUAAUUGUUUUAAAAAUUUUUAUUUAAUGAAAUAAGCUAAAAAAAUUAAUAUGGGCUUGGCCAGGCCAGGCUCGGGCCUAGUAAUUUUCUUUUGGGCCGGACUUAGAUAAAAUUUUAAGCCCAUAUUUUAAAUUGGGUCCUAACCUAAAAAAUGAACCUAAAAUUUUAUAUGGGCCCGACUUGGCCCUUGAUUACCUUUAGGUCAGAGCUAUCCUCGUUUUGCAUUUCUUUGAGAUUCAGCCUUAUCUACUGUGAUUGCCCACUCAAUUGAGGGUUGAGUAGAAAGAUUUGGUGAAGCAAGCUAAGCUAUCAAUCAAGGUUUGCAUAAUUAUUUAAAUGUAAUUCUAAUAUUAAAAUAAUUUUUUUAUUAAUAUAGUAUCAACAAGCAUUAAAUGUAAUGAUCAUAUACUAUUACAUUUUAAAGAAGAGAAAACAUGUUUGAACUUUAAAAACCACGUUACUAAAAACAUUAUCACAAACCUUGAAAUAUAAAAAAUAAUUUUUUUAAUAUAAUAAAAAAUUAAUUUUAAACCCGAGCUGAAUAAAAUUCUAAUUUUAGUUAAUGAUACGAACAACAAAUCAAUAUUCUAAGCCCGAGCCCUGCUCAUUUUUUUAAUAAACACCAAAAAUUUAUUUUGAAAAUAAAAAAUAAAAAAAAUAUUUUAAAAAUAUUUUAAAAAUAAAAAAAAUUAAAAAUAAAUAUUUAUUAUAUAUUCAGGCCGGGCCGGGCUAGCCUUGGGCUAAAAAAAUGGUGCCCGAGGCCCGGCCCAUUUUCUAAAUAGGCCUCAUUUUUUGUCCAAACCCAUAUUUUGGGCCUAUAUUUUUACCCGAACCUCUCAUAUUUUGGGCGGACCGUCGGGCCGGACCGGGCCGCCCGGCCAUGAACACCUCUAGGGCAAAGUCACUCAAUGAAUGCAUGGAAAGAAAUAUUGCAACUUGGUGACAGCUUUUGUUGGAGUUAUAUGCUUUUUUUUACAUAGUGGAACUUUCGGUGGAUUUUCAAGUUUCAUGAACUUUAUACCCUAGGCUUUACGUGAAAAAAAUCAUUGGACUUAAAAGUCUACCAAAAGUUUCACUAUAAUAAAUAAAUAAAUAAAUAACAUUGCUACAAGACUACAACAUAAAGUUACAAUAAGAGCUUAUAACUCAACAAAGGCUAUCAAUAAAUAAUCUCAAGCAAGCUAAAGAGAAAUGUUGAGAGUACCACUCAAAUAGUGAUUGACUUUAAAAAUUGAAAACCCGAAGUUAUUGUUGACACCAUUUUUUGGAUGAAAAUGUGUCGACUUGGGUUUUGAAAAUGAAAACGAAAACGAGAGUCGCCACCAAUCCUUUUUGAUAAGGUGUGACUGGGUCACCUUGAAAAGUGGUUGUUUUUAAUAAACGAUUUGAUUUUAUUAAAACAACAGUUUUGGUCCACGAAAUUCAGAAAAAUGAGUUCGGGAGUCGGUUACGCACGAGGAAGGAUUAGCACCCUCGAUACGCCCAAAAUUGGUACCUAGUUGAUUACUUAAUGUCUUAAUGUCGAAAAUUGAAAACUUUGGAGAAUUUUAAACAUACGAUCCUUGUAUUAAAACGUUAAAAAUUUUCAAGAAAAUGGGAUAUUUCACGUUAUUCGAUAAAGAGAAUCAUAUCCUAGUAAGUUAGGACACAAUAUCUCGAAUUUCCGAUAUCAUUUAAAACUUGAGUUUGAAAAGAUUCGUGUAAUAAAGUUUAAAAUAAUAUUCAAUUGUUUAAAUCAAAUGAAGAAAUCGCAACCCAAUACGUUAGGGCACAAUUUCUCAAAAUAUUAAACAUUGAAUAUUGCAUUUAUUUCGAAAAAUCCUCAUCUCGAGAAAACGUGUCACAUCCAAUGCAUUAGAAUACAACGUAUUGAAUUCUCGAUAACGAGCUUUUUCUCAUUUUUUAAAAGAGUAAUCUCGAUUAUUUAGGUUCAACGAAGAAAAUCAAAACCCAAUACGUUAGGGCUCGAUUUUCUCAAAGAUUCCAAAUACCGAGUAUUACUUAUAUUUUUAAAAUUUCUUUUUUGAAAUCCGAGUAAAAAUGAAUGCAAAAUAAUAAAUGAUGACAAUGUAAAUAAAAUGAUACAAGCAAAACAAUAAACAAUAAAAAUAAUCAUACGGGCAAGGUAACAAAUAAUUAGGAACUAAAGAAAGAGAACAAACAAUAAUAAACAUGCAAAUAAAUGAACAAAAUUAACAACAUGAUGCAAAUAUGAAAGAUAUAUAAGCACAUAUAUAUACAUAAAAUAAUGAGAAUAUGAAAAAAUGUGUGUAAUUGGACAUGUUUCGGAAUUAUUAUACAUUUAAAAAUCAUGUAAAUGUGUGUACAUACAUAUAUACAUAUAUAAUAAUCAUUAAAUAUAUAAAAAUACAUAUGUGUAGGUAUAUAUGAGUCAUAAAAUGUAAAGAAUAUAUACAAGAUAUAUUUUGAACGUAUAAAGUAUAUGUAAAUGUAUAUAUAUAAUAAAGGUGUAUGAAAGCAUAUUUUAUAUACGUGUAUUUAUAAAAUGUAUAUAAAUGUAUAUUGAUUUACCAAUACAUAUGGAUUUAUAAUUAUAGAAUAUAUAUAAAAUAUUUACAUAUAUACGUUUAUGCAUAUAUAAAAGUAAGUUAUUAUAAAAUAUGAGCAAGCAGAAUACAUAAAUAUAUAUACAUAAAAUAAAAAUGAAGAUGAAAAUAAUAUAAAACUACUUAAUAUAUUAAUAUAAUAGUAACAAAUUAAAAAAACAGAAAAUAAAGCUAAUAAUAAUUAAUAAUAGUAGUAAUAAUUAUAGCAGCAAUGAUAAUGAUAAUAAUAAUAACACUAAAAAAAUUAAUUAAAUAAUAAAAUUGCUAAAAAGGGAUUAAAUCGAAAUAAAAACAUAAAUACUGGGCGAUUUUGAAAUAAAAAACGGGAAGGACCGAAUUGCAACGCGCGUUGAAAAGGAAAGGGCCAAAACUGCAAAUAAACCACAGCCCCAAAACGCAGCGUUGAAAUGGACCAAGUCGAAAUAAAAAUAAAAUUGCAGGGGCUAAAUUAAAAAUAAGAGAAAAUAACGAAAAAUGAUCAAAUUGUAAUACGCUGCAAAAUCAGGGGGACUGCACGCGCAAAUAGCCCAAAAACUGAAAACACGCGGAUCCUCCGGGUCGGGUCGGGUCGGGUCAGGUCGACGUGCGGAUCCCCUUUGCUAAAACGGCGUCGUUUCAUGUUUAAUAUAAAUACUAAAAAAAGCUAAAAAAAACAGUUUCAUCUUUUUUUAAAAAAAACAGAGAGAAAACUCUCUCUUUUUCCCUCAGGUCCGGCCAUGGUCCGGCUUGGGAUUUCCGACGAGUCUCCGCCGCAAAGCCACCGUGUGUGGCGGCCGGAGGUUCAAAAUCAGACCUUUUUGGUCCUUUUUUAAAGUCCAUGGCCUCCAAGCCACAGAUCCGGGGCUGAAUCUCCUGAAUCGAAAGCCGAAGACCCAAAAAAUGGGGUGAAAUCCUUCGCCUUCCUCCCCCUUCCGGCGCUGCGCAGGUAAGGUUUUUUUUAACUCCUUUUUUACUAUCUUUAUUUAUAUAUAUACAUGAAGAGAAAAGAGAGCAAAAUAAAUAAAUAAAUAAAAACUUCAAAACUGAAGAGAAAAAGACCUUGAAUCUGCCUUAUUUAUUUUCUUUCGGUUGAAUCUGUUUUUGUUUGUUACAAAAGUUUCCAGGGAAGAGAAAAAAAAAGAGAGUUACAUGCUUGGCUUUUAUAGCCGAUAUUAAUUUCUAUUUUUUGUUUUCUUUUUCCUUUCUUUUCUUUGGCUGUUGCGUGUUUGCUUCCUUAUUGCAGGGUGAUUGACGGGAGUGGUUGGCGACAGAGUCGGUGGCCACUUGCACUGAUGAAGCAGCGGUGGCGGCGCUAGGGUAGGCUAGGGACGGCGGCAGUACUAGGGUUUCAGAAAACUGAAACCCUAGUUUGACAAAUUGGUUUCGGGCCUGUUGGGCUUUAAAUUAUGGGCUUUGUAAUUGGGUUUUGGGUUUAGGUGAUUUGGGUUUAGGUGGUAUGGGCCCGGGUCAAAUUUUGGGUAAUGGGAUUGGGGCAAAAUUGGGUUGUACAGUUAUAAUAUCCCAAACGAAAUCAAACUAUAAACAUUAAAUUUUUCGAGUCUUCUAGAUACUGUAAAAAAUUCAGCUCCAACGGACACCAAAUGAACCUAUGAUCGAAGAAAAUACGAAGACUAGUCUGGCUAAAUCAAUCUGCCAAACUUACUUUUUAUCUUAUCUUUAAUUUGCUGUGAAAUUCAAAACUACGUGUAAUACUCAAUUUAUGCUCGACCCAUUUUGUUAAAACAAAUAAAAAAGAAAAGAAAAACAAAAUAUUUAAAUUUAGCCCAAAUGUCCAUUUACACAGCCCAAUUACAAUUGCAAAUAAAAAAAACUAAAACUAAACCCGAUCCUAAGCAUCAGCCCAAAUUCGACCCAUGCCCAAAACGAAUUCAGAUGCAGAAACCCUAGCCCAGCCUUAAUGCAAGCAAAAGUCGAAAGCCCUAAUAGUUGGUGCGCCGCUCCUGUAACAGCCCGAUUUUGGGCCUAGUCGGAACAGUGGUUUUGGGACCACAAAUCCGACGAGAAAAAAAUGUAAUGGCCCGAAUUUUCAGAGGUGUCAGAACGGUGAUUCGAGAUCACUAAAUUCGACAAAUGGGUAGAAAAUAUUAUUAAUUUAGUAAGUAUAAGUUAAAUGUGAAGUUAGGAAAAUUUUUGAAAUGGUGAAUAGUACACUAGAAAUAAAUAUUAAAAUAAUUAGAAUCGAAAAUGAGGUAUCGAGACCUCGGGGAUUUUAAACCGAGCCAUAAAUAUUUUUAUAAAUAUUUAUGUAGUCUUAAAAAGUUAGUAUUAAAGUUUCGUUAAGAAAUUUUAAAGUUCCGAUAAUUAAUUGAACAAAAAGGACUAAAUUGUAACAAAUACAAAAUUAUGAGAAAUGAUUAAAUAGUUUAAAUGAUAAAAGGAAGAGGGCUUAAAAGGUAAAUAGACCCAAGGUCUAUUUGGGCUGCACGGCAAAGGCAUGAAAUCAGCAACAAAGUAAGGAGAAUUAAGGGCAAAAUUGGAAUAUUGCAAAAUUUACUUAAUAAAGUUAGGACCAAAGUGGAAUUAUCUAGAUUUCUCUUUAUUUUUCUGCAUUAUCAUCAGCAUAAACACCAUAGAAGGGUUUUCUUAAGCUGGUUCUUCCUAUUUUUACUGCAGGUAAGUUCAAUUCUUGAUUAUUUCUUGAAAAUUUUGUGUUUUUGUGACUUUUACAACUAGGCCCACUUAUUGUAUUCAUUAGUUUUUGAUUCUAUGAAAGAAGUUGAAAGUUGCUAUGAAUACAUGCUGGAAGUAUAUGAUGAUUUAGCAUGGAAUUAGAGCUUUAAAUUGUUCAUAUGCUGAUUUAUUGAAAGAAUUGAAUAGAAAGUGAAUGUUUGGGACCUAAUAGUAAAAGAGUUUGAAGAUAGAGUUAUAUGUGGAAAUUCUGAAUUUCAAUAGUUGUGAAACAACUUAUAAUGUCUAGGUUAAGUAUUAAUUGAGAAAAUUAAAUUAAUUGAGGGGUUAAUUGAGAAAGGACCGAAUUGUAUAAACUGUGAAAUUUGGGGCAAAAAGGAAAUCAACAUUUUACACUAAAGCAGUUUUGGACAGCAGCAGUAGUAUAACUUUGAAAAAUCACCAAAAAUUUUGAGAAUUGAAUUAGAGGGUGAAUAAAAUAUAAAAUUAAAGCUCCUUGAAUCUAGUUUCUCAUAGAAGAAACGGUGUAAGCAAUGGAAUUGUAAAUCAUGAGAUAUAAUAAAUUUUGUGAGACAAUGUCAUAAUGAUUUCGGGUUCCCCUAUUCUGACUUUGGAAAAUCAUCAAAAAAUUAAGAAAAAUAUGAGUUAUAAUUUAUAUGAUUACAAUCCUUAAUGAGUCUAUUUUCAAAGAAAAUAAACGGAAAUAUCAUCCAAAUUCUGUACAAUUAUAUAAUUCAUUUUUAGUGAAGAGUGGUCGAAACUGUCAGACAGCGAAAUAGGGGGAACUUUAAAGAAUAAACUGUACUAUUUGGCUGAACCAAAAAUUCUGAAAAUUUUAUGGUAAGAAGGUAUGUGAGUCUAGUUUUAAGGAAAAUUAACGGAUCUUAAUUUAGAGCUCUGUAGCUCUAGAUAAAAAUAAUUUAGUGACUCUGACUCAGAUAAAUAGCUUUGAAUGUACAUGUGAGUGAAUAGUGAAAUUAUAGCUAGUGUUGUUUAAGUGUGUUAUACACAUUAAGGAUAUGGAAUGGAGAGGAGGAGGAGGAGGAAAAAUUGGGAAAUAUAUGAAUGAUUUGUGUAUAAUUGGUCAUAUGCUUAAUUAUAAUUGAUAAACGAUGAAAUAGAAAUGAUGCAUAUAUUUGUGCAGUAUUGGUCAUGGUUUAAGCUCAUGUGGGAAAAUAAAGUUUAUAGUACGUGUGUAUUAUAUUUUUGGUAUAUGAUUUGGCAUUAAGUAAUGUCGUGAAUGGAUAUUGAAUUAACACAUGUUGGAAAGUUUGAUAUAUGAAUAAAUAUUGUGAUCAUGAAAGAGUGUUACAGCUCCUGCCUUCAGCACGCGUCGAGCCUCCGCGCCAAAUCCACGUGAGCCUCCGUACACUCCAACUAGCCUCCGUACCUGCAACAAACAAAAGUAGACAAAACAACAGCAAAGGAUAGGAAGAAAAGGCAGUAAAUAGUGAAGAUUUUUCUGUAAUUUUCUUUGGAUUUCAUUAUGUAUUUUCGGCUAUAAAAGAGCCAUUAGGAAUAUUUGUAAAGGGUUUUUUUUUUACCCUCACACACAAAGAGAAUAUACACGCAUACAAGAUCAAUAUAGAGAAAGAAAUAAAAAUAAAUAAAUACAAAGAAUAGAAAAUCAAGUUUCGAAGGUGAUUCUUUGAAAAAUCCUUUUCGUUUUUCUCAUUUUUCCUUUUUCCUGGAUCUUUUGUUCAUUUCAAGUAAAAAAAGUAUAGAAAGGAAACAAGUUUAGAGGAAGGAGGUUUACCUGGACGCCGGACCUCGCUCGCCUCGUCGAAAUCGAAGGCUGAGAGGGGAUAAAUCGGUUUUGCGGCAGAAGGAAAGGGGGGCUAGGGUUCUUGUUUUAACUUUUUUAAAAAAAAUAGAAAAGGUUGCUAAUUAGGUUUUAAUGGGGGAUUUAUGUGUGUUAAAAAAACGACGUCGUUUAGCGACCUUUGACCCGUGCGGUGACCCGACCCGAGGAAAGGAUCUGCGCGUUUUGGGUCUGAUGGGUUUAUUGCGCAACAAGCCCUUCCGCAUUUGUUUUUCGUUUCAAUUCGGUUUUUAUUUGUUUUUUAAUUGUUUUCUCAUAUUUAGUUCCAAUUUCAAUUGGGUCCAUGAUUAAACGACAUCGUUUUCAUUGAUUGGGUUUGAAGGCCUGGUUUUGUGCGUCUAAAUUGCAGCAAUGGUCCCCCUGAUGUGCAAUAGUUCUCGAUUUAGUCGUCUCCACACUUAUUUCAAAGUCGUCCUUGAGAUUUUGUUUUAUUUUUGAAAUUGUCCUUGUCUUCUUUUAAUUUAUAAUGAUAUUAUUAUUAUUGUUGUUGUUAUUAUUACUAUUAAUAUGGGUAUUGUUAUCAUGUUAGUUUAUAUCUAUUUAUUUACUUUUAUUUUAUUAUGUAUUAUUAUAUAAUGCUUUUAUCAUGUAUCAUUUUAUAUAUUUUCUAUGUUAAUCUAAUAUGAUAUAUAUAUAUAUAUGUAUUUUUGUGAUCUUAUUUUAUAAUACUUUUUUAACCCAUUUAUAUGCCUUUAUGUUUUAAAGAUUUAUAAUAUUUUGUGCAAAACUAUUAUAUAUAUAUAUAGAUAUACAAUUUAUAUUAGACCAUUUUUAUCGUACAUAUACGUAUAUAUAAUUUAUAUUUUGAAACUCUAUUUUAUUAUAUUUUAUGCCUCUAUAUACAUCAUUAUAUGUUUAUUAUUCUUUAUAUUAAACCUGCCAUUUCACUUAUAUAUUUUUAAAACCAAUGUGUAUUAUUCUUUCUUCUUUGUUAUUUUUUAUCUCUUAAAAUAGAUUGAUAAUUCAUUUAAUUUUUGAAUGUUGUAUGACCGAGAUUAUCGUUGCCAUUCUUGUCCAAAUUUAUCCAUUGCUUGUUCAUAUUAUUUGAUAAUUUAUCGCUCACUAGCAUGUAUCGUAAUUUACGAAUUAUCAUUUUGAAUUAUGUACUACCAUUCAAUCGCAUUACAUUUGUUUGGAAAACAUCGAAAUCGUUUUGCACAUAAACCUUCAAAAUGCUUGGUAUCCAAAAUUCUCGAGAGGAUUGUGCCCUAAUUUAUUGGGCUUCAAUUCCCCUUUUUGAUUUUAAAUAACCGAAUACCCCUUUUUCAAUUUGAACAUAGAAAUUCCAAAAUAAAAAAAAACUCAUUCUCGGGAAUUUGAUGCGUUGUGUCCUAACGUAUUGUAUAUGACAUAUUUUUCUCGAGACGAGGAUUUUUCUAACAAAUAAAAAUAAAGGCAAUAUUCGAUAUUUAGGAAUUUUGUGAAAUCGAACCCUAACUUACUGGGUUUUGAUUUUUUCAUUUGACCCAAGUAGGAUAUCCUUCACAAAUGCACAGAUUUUAAAAAAUCAAAAGAUAAACUUAAUUUCGAGGAUUUAAAAUGUUACACUCUGACUUACUGAGUGUGUCAAUUUAUUUCUUUGAAAUAAGUGAGUCUUAUCAUCCAAUUUAUUUUAUUCAAAUUUUCUUUUCCAAGGAUCGUAUUUUAAAAUUUUUUCAAAAUUUCGACAUUAAGACAUUAAGCAAUCAAUUCAGUACCAAUUUUGGGCGUCACGAGGGUGCUAACUCUUCCUCGUGCGUAAUCGACUCCCGAACCAGUUUUCUCAAAAUUCACAGACCUAAAAUUAUUUUCAAGGUGAUCCGAUCACACCACAAUAAAAGAUCAGUGGUGACUCCCAUUCCUAUUUUUAAAAGUCGAUUCCUGUUUUUCAUAUAUAAAAAAAUGGUUUCGACACUACGGUUUUGUUUGUUUCCCUUAGAACAACUUUCAAAAAGUUAAUUUUGAAAAAUGGAUUGAAUUUUCAAAAUAGAUGAUAUUUUUUUGUGUUAAAAUUUUAUUCGUUGUUUGAAAAAAAAAUUUAAAUCAUUUUCUUAGAAUUAUUUUUAGUGAAACAAAUAUAUCAUAAAUAUAUUUGUUAUAAAAUAUUAUAUUAAUAUUUUCUUUUAACAAUUAAAAUAUAUUUUGUGAUAAGGUAAUAUUUUAUAAUAAUUAAUAUCAUAUAUACUUAAUAAUAAAUCAUGUCUAAUUAAAAUUUAAUUUCAAUUAAAUAUAUUAAUAAAGCUACAUUUAAUCAUAUUUUAUAUAAUUAAAAUAUUAAUAUAAAUAUUUUUCAAUAAUAUAUUAAAGAAUAUUUAAAAUUUAAAUUUAUUAUUACUAAGAUUAAUUAUUAAAACAAAAAUGUAAUAUUAAAUAAUUUAUCCAAUGAUAAGUUAUAUUAAUAAUUUAUUAUAUUAUUAAAUAUAAAUAAUUAAAUAUGUAUGUUUAAUAAUAUUAUGUUAUAAUAUUUAUUACUAAUAUUUUAAUAUUUUUAAACAACCAUGUUUUAAAGAUGGUGGUGAUGGUGAUGGUGCAGGCCCCCUUGUUAAAAUUACAAUAUUUUUAAGUGGGAUGCAUGUAAUAUAUUGUUAGGGUUUUAGAGUAUGUGGUCUUUAAAAGGGUUAAAUUAUAUAUUUAUAUAAUAUGAUUAUUGUUUAUAAACAUAAUAUUGUAGAUAAGUUUAUAUGUAUGUCAAUAUGUAUCCUACUCUAAGGUUAAUAUGUAUUUUUUAGAUGUGGGUUUACCUAUAUAAUAGUAUGAAUCCAUCAUGUGGUCUCAUGAAAUAUACAAACACAUAUCGUGCGAACACAAAGUACGAACAAUAAAAAAUACAAAUCAAGACCCAAUUGAAUAAUUGAAUAACGGAUAGGUAAUAAUGAAUAUCAUAACAUUUACUAUCCCCUCUUUUCUAGUGAGUUAUUGUUUAUGAUAAAUUUGCAACAAAUGUUUUUAUCAUUAUUUUGUUGGUAAAUGAUAAUAAGAUUAAACAUUACUUUCUUAAGCUCCUUCAAUUCUUUGGACGUUAGCGAGUAAACUUGAGCUUCAGCAUUCCACAAACACCUUAAUUUGAAGACACAGUUCUCUCAUACUAAAAACGACAUGGACGUUUACCUUGUAAUUAGAGAUUUGGGCUCAUUGUUGGGUUAUUAAUGAUACGGGGAUGGAGAGCUUUAAACUGGGUAUGGUUGGCCCCAAAGAGGCUCGAAACGUGCUUGAGACUAGAGGUGAUCAAGGGCCGGGUUAGGCCCAGUCUAGAAAAAAAAUUAGGCCCAUUUUUUAGAUUUGAACUCGGCUCGGCUCAAAAUAUAAGCUUAAAAAUUUGUCUAAGUUCAGUCCGAAAGAAAAUUGUUAAGCCCAAGCUCGACCCAUAUUAAAUUUUACAACACCAAAAAAGUAUAUUUAAAUAAAAAUAAAAUAUAUAUAUUUAAUAUAUAAUUCGGGCCGAGCUGAACUCGGGCCAAAAAAGUUUUACUCGGGGCUGGUCCGUUUUCUAAACAGACUUCGUUUUUUUUGCCAAAAUCCAUAUUUUUACCCGAAUCUUCCUAUUUUUUGGGGUGUGCCGUCGGGCCGAACUGGGUAACCGAACCAAUGAUCACCUCUGUAAUCACUGAAUUUUGUCCGGGAAUAACUUUCGUUAAAAAAAUUUUAAAAUUAAAAAAAAAUUAACUUUUUUGCUUUUUGACCCCUAAACUUUUCUAAAAUUUCAUUUUAACCCCUAAACUUUCUCAAAAUUACAGUUCAACCCCUAAACUUUUCUAAAUUACAUUUUGACCCCUAAAAUUUCUUAAAAUUACAUUUGGACCCUUACACUUUCUCAAAAUUACGUUUCGGCCCCAAAAUUUUUGCUACAUUUACAAAUUGGUCCUUCUGUCAGAAAAUCCCCAAUAAUCCGGCGGAUUUCGUGCACCUGCCCCACUAUUUCCGGCAGCCGGCCUAGGGCAUGGCCUUCCCCACCUGCUACCUGCAAACAAGAAGCAAAAUCAACUAUAAAAAGGAGUUUAAACUCCAAAAAUCGGACCCCCACCCACGAAAAAAAUAAAAAAAAAAAACUUGAAAGAAAAAGAAAAAAGCUUUGAGAAAGAAAAAGAAAAGGAAAAGAAGAGAGGGGAGAAGGAGAGGCCGACCAUCGGCGAGCCACCGGAGGAGGCGACGGCAGCAGCGGCAUCGACGGCGGCGUAGAAGACCGAACGGAGAAGAAGAAGAAGAAGAAAAAAAAAGAAAGAAGAGAAAGAAAGAAGGAAGAAGAAGAAGAAAGAAACAAAAAAAAAAGAAAAUAUUUUGUAAUAGUCGGCCCGGCCCGACUCGACCUGCACGACCCGUGACCCGACCCGACAGCACCAGCAACCUAGCAGGCCACGGUAGCAGCCCGGCGGCCCAAAGAGUAGCCCAAAAAGAAAAAAAGAAGAAGAACAAAGCAAAAAAAAAAAGCAGGCCAUUUUCAGCAGGCCCAGUGCAGCCCAGCAGACCCAGCGAACCCAGCAGGCCAGGCCCACACGCAAGCAGCCCAACAGAAAAAAAGGGAAAGAAAAAGAAAAGAAAAAAGAAAAAAGAAAAAAGAAGAAGAAGGGGUUCAAUUUGUAUUAUCCGUUCGGCGAAGCUCGUGUUUUGAGGAUUUUUUUUCGGUAAUUUUAUUUUUUAAUUUUAAUUUAAUGCUCGUAUUUUUUUUAAAUAUUAUUAGUAUUUUAUGCAUUUUUAUAUUUUGGCAUUUAUAUUUUUAAUUUAAUUUACUUCAAUUUUUAUUUUAUUUUAUUUUAAAUAAUUUUAAUAAAUGAGGCAACGAAUCGAUUUAACAUAAAAUCGUUGAUUUCAUUGCUAUGUUGGGUGAAUAUCAUCGGUUUGUGUUAAACACGAUACACCCUUUUUAAAAAAAAGAAAAAAAUCGAAAAAAUUCUAAAAUUCUCAUUUUUUUAAAAUUCUCGUGUUUUAAUAGAAUCACGAUUAAAUAUUAAGUUGAAUCGAUUUGGCACUAAUUCGAUGAUUUCAUCUCCAUGUAGGGAUGAAUAUCAUUUAUUCGUGUUAAAUAUGGUACUUCUGAAAAAAAAUCGGGUUUCAAAAAUUUUCGUGUUUUCAAAAAUUCUCAUGUUUCAAAAAUCUUCGUGUUUUAAAAAUUCCAGUGUUUCAAAAAUUUUCGUGUUUUCAAAAAAAAAUUUCUCGUGUUUUUAAAAAUUCCCGUAUAUCGAAAUUUUCUUGUUUUCAAAAAAAAAAUUCCAUGUUUCAUAAAUUUCCGUGUUUUCAAAAAAAAAUUCUUGUUUUUCAAAAAUUUUCGUUUUUAAAAAAUUUGACCGUGUUUCAUAAAUUUUCGUAUUUCAAAAAAACCUCGUGUUUCAAAAUUUUCGGGUUUUUUUAAAAACAAUUCGUGUUUCUAAAAUUCUCGUAUUUUAAAAAAAAUCGUGUUUUCAAAAAAAGAAAAAGUUGUUGUGCUUUAAAAUUAUCGUGUUUCAAUCGGAUCACGAUUAAUAUUAAAUUGAACUCGUAUUUUUGAAAAUGAAAACAACGCGCGUUUAACGAGAUACCAAUUUUGGGCGUCGCGAGGGUGCUAAUACCUUCCUCGCGCGUAACCGACUCCCGAACCUUAAUUUUCUCUGAAUUUUUACGUGGACCUAAAAUUACCUCUUUUUAGAAAAGUUUAAAAAUGAAUUUUUCUUCUAAAAAGAGAAUUUUGUAGGUGUCCGAUCACACCUAAAAAAAGAUCGGUGGCGACUCCUUUUUUUCAAAUAAAAUCGAGAUUCAGUUUUCAAGUUUUUAAUAAUUACUUCGACAAGCGCCCGUGCGCAAAAUUUUUAAGUCGCUACAGCCUCUACUUGAGACAACAGGGUUUUGCAGGGAAUUCUUACAGGUUCGUUUCUGGCGACAAAAAAGAGCUCUUCACUAUAAGCAUACAAACAAGAGCCAAAACUAUGCCUCUUAGUGAUGAUAUUAGGCCUUAUGUUAUUCCUUUUCAACAUCAAACCGUCAACCGGUAUGGUAUGUUUUUUUUAUUUAAUCUGCAAUUUGUGAUAAUUCUUUGUUAUUUAUGUAUGGAAUUUAUUGGGAGGAAAUGCUGGAAAGAAUUCAUUUACGAGAAUUGGUCCAAGAUCAAGGGUGAACAUUACGGACCCUGAAAAAUAAGAGAAAUACUUAACAAAUUUAAUGACUUCCAGAAGAUACGUACCAAUCCACUGCUUAAUUUGCUUGUAAGCGGCCUUGUUAACCUCGAAGGAGACCGAUGGAGCAAGCAUAGAAAAAUCAUAACCCUUGCAUUUCAUCAAGAUAAGUUGAAGGUAUAGAAUAGUAAUGGGUACUCAAGACUUUAAAGAAAACAUCAUACUUAAGCCUAUGCUUUUCUGAUUUAGAAAUAAUUGGAUGCAGAAUAUGUUGCCAGCAUUUUAUCAAAGUUGUAGUGACAUGUUUAAGCAAAUGGGAGAAGAUGGUGUGUACAGAAGGAUACAUUGAGUUAGAUGUGUCGCCUUAUCUCGUAGAUUUGACAAGAGAUGUUAUUUCCCGAUCUGCUUUUGGAAGCAGCUUCGAAGAAGGCAAACGAAUUUUCCAAUUACUAGAGGACCAACUCGUUCUCACAAUCAAAUUAAUACAAACUGUUUACAUUCCAGGAUGGAGGUAACCGUCUACUUUAAUUUACUUGAAAAAGGUUGCAAAUGUUGGAAUUGGCUAAAUUCGUGUUUGUUUUCUUGAAGGUUUUUGCCCACAAAGACAAACAGGGAGGUGAAGAUGAAACACAAAGACAUAAAAGAGUCGCUCAGGGAAAUGAUAAAAAGAAGAAAGCAGGCAAUUAAAGCAGGGGAAGAGAGUAAUGAGGACUUGUUGGACAUACUUGUGGAAUCCAAUAUCAGAGAAAUGGAAGCAAAGAAUAUGGGGAUGAGCAUUGAGGAUGUGAUUGAGGAAUGCAAGCUGUUUUACUUAGCUGGCCAGGAGACCACUUCGGUCUUACUGGUGUGGACUAUGGUUUUAUUAGCAAGGUAUCCCGAUUGGCAAAGUAAAGCAAGAGAGGAGGUUUUGCAUGUUUUGGGUGACAGUAAACCUGAUGCUGAUGGCCUUAAUCGUCUCAAAGUUGUAAGUCCCUAGCAUGUCUCUUGAAGGCCCGAUCUCUGAGGUCGACAACUCAAAAACUUGGUUCUUUGUUUCGCUAAUUCUACAGUUAACAAUGAUAUUGUACGAGGUUCUAAGGCUGUACCCACCAGUGAUUGAGCUAGGACGUUCCGUUCCAAAAGAAAUAAAACUGGGAAAUUUGUUGUUACCAGCAGGAACAGACGUUUCGGUUCCAAUCCUGCAGAUCCACCAUGACAAAGAUCUUUGGGGCGACGCCGCACGGGAAUUUAAGCCACAGCGGUUCACGGAAGGGGUUUCCUAAGCAACAAAGAGUCAAGUCACGUUUCUGCCAUUCGGAUGGGGUCCUAGGAUCUGCAUUGGCCAAAACUUUGCCAUGAUGGAAGCUAAAAUGGCGAUGGCUAUGAUUCUCCAACGCUUCUGGUUUGAGCUUUCCCCUUCCUAUGCUUACUCUCCUUACAACAUGGCAACUCUUCGUCCACAGCAUGGUGCACAGAUAAUUUUACAUAAACUUGGCUGUAAUUGAAUUGUUAUGUAAGCAAAUCUUUGUGAAAAUAUAGUGUUUUAGUGUAUCGUCAACGUCUGUCUGUAAUGGUACAAUUCCGAUGCAUGAAUAGUAAAUUUUGAGAUGUUUGGUGAAGUCCGAAAUAAUAUGCAGAAAUUGAGUGUCUAUGGUGGACAUAGUUGAGGGACUAAUGUGGUAAUUAUCAAUCAAAUAAUUCGGUACAAAGACUUAUAUGGAAAUUAAAGCAGGGGGAGUUGAAAAUGACUACUCUGCUUUGGGCAUCAAUUUAGAAAGAUUUAAAGUACAAAUGUGUUAUUAGUUAAGGGAUUUGUUUUAAAGAGGGAAUGACAAUUAAACCUCAUGGUUGAUUUGUGGAAGGGAACCAAUGAUGGGAUGAUUACUCUUAGUGGUGAAAAAAAAACUAUUAAGGUGGUUAUUAUAGUUGUUAUCACCAGCCUAAAAUUUGAAUAGGUUCAGGUCGGAUUAUAUUGAGCUUGCAAGAUUAGUUCACGGACCAAACUUGCAUGAUAAUAGGUAUUCACAACAAGAUAUCUAUAGUUUCCAACAAAGUCACAUGUGAGAUCGUGCAUUAGAACCGCAUAAACAUGUUUUAUGUUUAGAAUAUGAUAUGUGUCUAUGUGUAUAGAAUCUACCUAAUAUAUCAUAUUAAUGAAUAGUAUCAAUUGCGGAGCCAAAAAAUUAUUUGUGAGGGGUCAGAAUUAAAUUGUAUAUUUUUACAAAAAUAAAAAUUAAAUUUCACUAUUUUAAUAGUUUAUUUAUUUUUAAUUUUUAAAUGAUUAAAUUAAAUUUUAUAAAUUUUUAGGAUCAAAGUAUAAUUUUAUCAUUACUAAUUUAAAAUUUUAUAAAUUAUAAAAAGUUUAUAUGAAAAGUUUUCUAUUUUAGGGUGGCCAAAGCCCCUGUCAACUUCUGACUCGAUCACUUGCGGUUAGUUGGGUAAAGACUCAAGAAAAAUAGCGGUGUGUUUGGAUGGACGGUGCGUUUACUUGCGGUUAGUGUAAAAAUAGCGGUGGCGGUGAGAUUAGAUACUAUAGCAACACUGUAGCGUGAGACAAAAAGUAAGUUAAACGCACUGCACUGCACUUAAUCGUCUAUCUAAACUCACCAUAAGUGUCUAAAAUAUGAUUUAAGUGAAGAUACGUGGGGUAGGUGUCAUGGAAAUGUAAAAAAAAAAAAGAAUCCUACUAAUGUAUGGGAUGUGUACAAUUGAAUGCAGGAGUGAAUCAUUUGGGUAACAUUUGGACAAGAAACAUAAUGAACAAAAUGAAAGGAGAGGAAGCUAGUAAUAAAAGAUUCUUUUGGGUUAUAUAAUUUGUUUGGCAUAUAUUUUUAUAAUAUUUAAAUAUCAUUUUGGAGUUGUUGAAUUAUAAUUUAUUUUUAUGUUUUAAAACAUAAUUAUUCUAUUUUUAGAGGUCAGAGUAGAGGUGAGCAUGAGUCGGGCUACUCGGCUCGGGCUGAAGGCUUGCGCAAAAUGUGAGAGAUUUGGGUAAAAAUAUAGGCCCGAAAAAUGAGUUUAGACAAAAAAAAAUAUAAGGCCCGUUGAAAAAACAGGCUAGGCCUUGGGUAAGGCAUUUUGGCCCCAGACCCGGCCCAACCCAAAUUCACUAAGGGCACGUUUGGUUCGCUGUAUUGGAAUAGAGGCGUAAUGUAAUAGAGGCGUAAUGGAAUAGAGACGUAAUAGCAAAUCAAUUGUUUGGUUGAAUGUAAUGGAAUAGAGGCGUAAUAGUAUUCUUAUAUUUGGUUGAAUGGAAUAGAGUUGUAAUAGCAUAAGGAAAAAAGUUAAAAUGACUAGAAUACCCUUAGCAGAAAUUUGUUUAGAUAAAUGAUUAUUGUUAUUGUUAUUAAAUUUUAAUAAGAUUAUUAAUAUCAGUAAUAAAUAAUUUAAUCAUAUUUUAACAUAAUUAUUAUUAAAUAUAAUUUAAUAAAAAUAUAUAAUUUAAUAAAAUUCUUAAUAUUAAAUAUUCUUAAUAUUAAAUUACUAAAAUCAUAAUAUAUAAUACUAUAAAAUAUAAUUUAACAUAAUUAUUAUUAAAUAUAAUUUAAUAAAAUUCUCAAUAUUAAAUAUAUUCUUAUAUGAAUUUACUAAAAUCAUAAUAUAUAAUACUAUAAAAUAUAAUUUAAAAUAAUUAUUAUUAAAUAUAAUUUAAUAAAAAUAUAUAAUUUAAUCUAAAGUUUGAAUGUGUAUUUACCUAGCAAAAAUCAAUGAACUCUCGUGUAACUAUAACCUUAAUAAUAUAUGAUGUAUAAUUAAUAUUUCGUGACUAAUUAAUAGCAUAGAGAUAAAUAUAGUAAUGACGAAUUUAUAGUAUACGAUUAAAAUGCUAAUAAUUUAUAGUAUACAAUUAAAAUAUUAUAAAUAAAAUAAUAGUAAAUGAUAUAUAAGAUAAAUUAACAUAUAAAUAAUUCAGAUAUGUAAAGGAUAUGGCUGAAUAUGGUUGCUCCAAUAAUAAAGGAUAUAUAAUAUAUCAUGGUGUUGUUUUGUUUAGAUAGUUCGGUAACUUAGGAGGGUAUGUAUGAAGAACACAAGUUGAUGCAGAUAGAAAGACGACAAUAUUACAUGAUUACAAUAUGAUAUAGUAUAUAUAUAUAAUUUAUGGAUUCCUUGCAAUCACGUGGGUUCUCUAGCCAUUUUAUUUAGCAUAUCCAGUGAUAUUAAGAUCCAGAAUUAUAAUACAACUAAAAUCUGUGCACACUUAUGGAUGAUCCAACAAAGCCUCAGUUGGCUUUAGGUUCCAAAUCUUGCAACCCACAAACCAUAUUUGCUGGCACUGCAACAUCAAUCAUCUUAGGAUAUGCCAAGUUAAGAUCUGUUGCACCAACAAAAACAGAGGAGAAAUUGGAAGGCGAUCCGAAAAAACCCAAGGAUGCUUUUUCUUUUCUUUUUUUUUUAUAAUCUUUAUAGACUGGUUAUAUUGAGCAUCAACUUACUUUCCAUGAUGUUUUUGAAAGUCUCUUACAAAAAGGGUAUUCAACAAAUAAUAUAAUCAGACAUAUUGAUAGGACAAAUUGAAACUAGUAUUCUAUGAUCAUAAUAAAGAGUAAUCUUUAAUCAAAUGCGUGAAGGUAUUGAGAUGUCAUGCUUUUUCAUGAUUUCCUGUUUUACCAUGGCGAUGUUCAUUGGAAUAGUCCCAUCCAAGAGAAUCAAACCAAUGCUCAGCAAGAAAUGUUCAAUGCAUAUGUAAUUUUAAUUACAGAAGUUAUAUGCAGCUUAUAUGAGUUCAAGAUCAUAAAAUACUUCAUGGACAAAAGGAAACCCUUUCUUAUCACUGAAAUGAAAAUAGGCACUCUUAAUUUUCUAUUGUCAAAAGUAGCAAGCCAUUUUCCAAAGAAAAGGGAAGAUGGAUGGUUCCAGAAAGAAUACCUCAUCCUUUGUCAAGUGUGGAUUAUAUAGCAUCUCCUCUCCCACAGUGGUUACCUAUAAUCAAUGAGGUUUAUAAAAUCGAGCAAUCAUUUAUAUAUGUAAGAAAUGAUAGGAAUAAAGUUUUAUAUCUUACUGAGAAUCCUUUGUAGUCAUGAGCUGGAUAUAGCAAUGUCUCUUUCGGUAAUGUAAAAAUCUGGAUCCAUGAAACAAAUAAGUCCAUAAAUUUUAUUCAAAUUUUGACAAUUACAAUAAAAUUUUGAGAACUCAAAGAAUGUGACCAUAAAAAGUCCCCUGUCCUUACCUGUGAAUGCACUGACUUGUAGAGUUGCUGUGAACUUCCACCCUGCAAAAUGCAUUAAUCAGUGCUAGUCAAUGGCUACUGAAUGUGGGAGCAUUAGAGAAAAUUAUCUUAAAAACUUAAGUAUAACAAAAUUAGACAAUGACAUCCAGAUGGAAAGAAAUUGCCAGCAUAUAAGACCAGCAUUUAUGUACUCACGACUGAAAAUCCUUUGCAAAAAGUAUAGCCCUGAUAGUUCAAACUUUUACUUCAAGGAUGAUUUAAUUACUGAUUAGUUUGCCAUGAGGCUUGUGAAUGACAAACACUUUAUGUGCAACCACAGUAACAAGGUAAGCACCAAUAAGUAGAAGACUAGACGAAUAGGUAACCAAGAGUUAGAGCUAAAACAGACAAACAGAGCUACUAUCCAAUGAGCUAAAACAUACAAACAGAGGUAUAUUUUAAUAAUGAAAAUAAUCGAUUGCCUUAAACACCAUAUAGUGUUCCAAUCAAUCAAAUUAUAGCAGGCAUUAAAACCUUUCCCUUUCGUUAAUUCACAACUAUUAGCUUCAUUAAUCAAAUCCUAUGUACAGUUGAUCGAUUGAAAGUGUAACAUUUCAAAGACGAAAUUUAAACGCAAAACUGGUUAACAUUGAAAUUACAUGUAAAUAUAACCUAAAAAAUCAAAAAAUUAAUCAUAUUUUCAGAUUUCAGGCCGAAAUGGAAUGAAAUGAAAGGUAAAUCCAUUUUUUCCCCAAAAAAACAAAAAUAAAGAAAUAAUAUUUCAAGAACAGAUCAUUAAAUUCAUGGUAUAUAUAAAGAAAUUUAAUUGAAAUCAAAGGAAUAGAAGAAGGGAAAAGCGUACUUGGAACCAUUGCUGCUACUCUCUGUUACUCUGUUACCUCAUACGAUUCGUUAAAGGGUUGUUAGGGUUUGUUAAAAGGUUGGUCAGGAUAGAAGCAUGAAAAGGAGGGAGAAGGUUGGAAGGAAAUGGGAAGAAAAAUGAAAAAAAGAAGAAGAUGCUGCAACGGCUUGGAGGGUAAAAGAGGACCGAUUAGGUAAUCCUUUCUUUUGGAAGGGAUUACAAAUCGGCGCUGCAUAAGGGAAAAUGGGGAAUCAGUGCGCUGCGUAAUAGGCCCGUAUUAAGGCAAUACAGCCAACCAAACAUGGUAAUCAGUGGGGCCACGAAUUAGGGGUGUAUUGGCUAAUCCAAUACACCCAACCAAACAUGCUCUAAAGGACAAAAAAAUUUGAUUUUUUAAAUAUUAUUUUCUCUCUAUUUUGCUAUCAUUUUACUAUUAUGUUGCUACUAUGUUAUUGUUAUUUUUGAAUAUUGUAUAAAACUUAUUUUAUUGUUAAUUUUGUUAUUAUUUUAAAGACAUUUGUUAAUUUUGUUAUUAUUUUAGAGACAUUUGUUUGUUAAGUUGCAUCUAUCUUAGUGUUAUUUAAGUAUACAUAUUUUUUAAAAUUUAUUUUCAAUUUAUUGGGAAAUAUUUAUUUUGAUGUUUUUAGUAUUUUGGAUGUAUUAUAUAUAUUAAAAUUAUAUAAAAAUUAAUAUGGCCGAGCCAGGUCAGGCCCAGAUUUUAGCAUUUUUAUUCAGGUCGGGCUUGAGCAAAAUUUUAAGCCCAUUUUUUGGGCCAAACCAGGCCUGGGCUUAGCAAAUGGGCCUAAAUUUUUAGUCAAGCUCGACCUAAACCCGAUCCGGCCCAUGCUCACCUCUAGAUCAGAGCUGCCCUCGCUUUGCAUUUCUUUGAGAUUCAGUCUUAUCUACUGUUGAUUGCCCACUCAAUGGAGGGUUGAGUAGAAAGAUUUGGUGAAGCAAGCUAAGCUAUCAAUCAAGGUUGGAGAAAGCUUAGGAGGUCACAAUGCAUAAUUAUUUAAAUGUAAUUCUAAUAUUUAAAUAAAAUUUAUUAAUAUAGUAUUAACAAGCCCUAAAUGUAAUGAUUAUAUACUAUUACAUUUUUAAGAAGAGAAAACAUGUUUGAACCUUAAAAACAUCAUUAUUAAAAAUGAUAAUUACAAAUUUUAAAAUAUAAAAAAUAUAAUUAAAAAUUAAUUUUAAACCCGAGCUGGAUAAAAUUCUAAUUUUAGAUAACGAUACUAAUAAGAAAUCAAUAUUAAAAUGAAAAUGAAAAGUAAUUUAAUAUAAUUUUUGAGUCUUGGGCAAAGGCACUCAAUGAAUGCUUGGAAAGAAAUAAUGCAACUUGGUGAUAGCUUUUGUUGGAGUAAUAUGCUCUUAUUAUAGUUUUAUGUUUUUAUCUUGCAAAAACAACAUAUUGGAGUUUUCGGCAUGAUUUUUUCUUAAUACUUUACAUGAAAAAUAAUAAUGGGACUUAAAUUGCUACAAUAUUACAACACAAAGUUACAAUAAGAGCUUAUAACUCAACAAAGGCUAUCAAUAAAUAAUCUCAGGCAAGCUAAAGAGAAAUGUUGAGAAUACCACCCGAAUAGUGACUGACUUUAAAAGUUGAAAACCCGAAGCUAUAUUAUCUCAAACGAAAUCAAACCAUAAACAUUAAAAUUUUCAAGUCUACUAGUUACUGUAAAAAAUUCAGCUCCAACAGACACCAAAUGAGCCUUUGAUCGAAGAAAGUACGAAAAAUAGUCUAGGUAAACCAAGCUUCCAAACUUACUUAUCUUAUCUUUAAUUUGCAGUGAAAUUCAAAAUUAAGAUUUUGUUUAUUUCACUUGGAACAACUUUCAAAAAAUUAUUUUUGAAAAAUGAAUUGGUUUUUCGAAAUAGAUGAUAUUUUAUUGUGUCAAAAUUUUAUUCAUUGUAGGAAAACUUUUUUUAAAUCAUUUUCUUAGAGUUAUUUUUAGUUAAAUAAACAUAACAUAAAUAUAUUUGUUACAAAAAAUUAUACUAGUAUUUUCUUUUGACAAUUAAAAUUUAUUUUAUGGUAAGACAAUAUUUUAUAAUAAUUAAUAUCAUAUAUAUACGUAAUAAAAAUCAUGUUUAAUUAAAAUUUAAUUAAAAUUAGAUGUAUUAAUAAAGCUACUCCUCCACAACCCGCAUCCGCAACAGCACCAGCACCAGCACCAGCACCAGCAUCAGCACCAUGGGACAACUAUUGGGUUUCCUCCACCUGCCUCUAUCGCUCCUCCUCAGUAUUACCCCCAAGCCUACCAGACCGUGCCGGGUAUUCUACAAAUAUGAAAAAACCUUCUUCUCUUUUUAUUAGCUUAUCGAAAUGAAGGAUUUUGAGAUUUGGGCUUUUGUUAGAUGGAUGGUUAAUGAUAUUUUUUAGAUGAAAGAUACAAGUUUUUUAAUGUUUUAGAAGAAAAGGUGUUUAAAUAUUAGGAGUUUUUUAGCAGAGAAAGAAGAUAAAUAAAUGCAUAGAGAUACAUUAGCAAUAUUAUUUGGAUUUGGUUGUCUAAUGUAAUGAAGAAUUUUUUAAGGGUGACCUGAGUAGGUGUGGCAAGAUUCAAAGUUUUUUCUAUUAUAGCAGAUAUAUAUAUAUUAAUGGUUUAAGAAGACUAGAAGUCGGUUUCAAAGGAAGAUGAGAAAUAAAAGCAUUUAUAUAUAUGAUAUGUCAUUAAUUCAUAAACCAAAUAUAUAAAGUAUGUAAAAGUGUCAGGGGUUAAUCAUGGUGUUUUGACAAUCCGGUAACCUUCAACUUGAAGAAAACCUUAGGUUUCAAAAAUUUAUGUGAAGAGUUAGAAUGGUAUGCUUCAUGGAUCUGAAUAACUAGAACAGUGUAAGAGUGGUAUAUUGUGUCAAGUUUGGUUUCUUGUAUAUAAUUGUAUCGAAAACAAUGUUACAUGAGUUAAAAUGAAUGUUCAUCCAAUUUAACAAAGCCUGCAUUAUGUUGAUCAAAAUUUUUAAUUCAUGUUGAGGUUUCUUCCGUGAUAUCUUUGAUGUCAAGGUUAUGAUGUUGCUGAAGGGACACCUGUAAGAGAUAAGCCACCGUGCUGUGGCAUUGGAUUCGGAUGGUUCUUGUAAGUGUACAUAGUUUUCUUUGUUUUUAAAGAGUUCUUUACAUAUGAAGUAAAACAAGUAGCGACUUGAUGGAUAUGUCAUUAAGCUUUAACUUAAGCAAAUCAUUUUCCUUCAUCUCUAAUUGCCAUUUCUUUAAAAGAAAAAGAGGAAGUUUUGUAGUUUACAGUUUGGACAAAUGGAAGUUAAUAUAAUGCACUAUUUGGAUGGACUAUGGAGAUAUCCAAUCAUAUUGGAUGAGUUAUAAGAAACCUGUGAGUUCAUAUUGGGUUUACUUUAUAUCAUAAUUAGAUUGUUGAGCUGGCUGUCAUACUUAGAUGGUAUUUCACGUUGCUACUUGUUAAACUAUACCACUUUCACAUUCAUACGUGAAAUGGCUGGGAUUUAGUGCCAUUCUACUUAGCAGCCUCGUGUAAUACACAGGUGAAAUGUUUAUGUCUUCAUGUCACCUUAAAGUUCCCAUUUCCAUGACGGUAUUGUUAAGUAAAGACUGGUACAUACCCCAAAAUACGGAAAUUGUUUUGGAUGUAUACUAUACUUUACCAUGCAUGAUUUUUUACAAGUUUGCAUGGUAUUUUAUCAUUAUAUUGGUCUUUAUUUUCUAUACUCGCAGCUUCCAUUAAUAUAUUUUUAUGAAUUUUAUCAUUAUGCUGGUUUGAAGGUUCAUCAUUGGUUUCUUCAUUGGGGGCCAUCCCUGGUAUAUUGGAUUCUUUGUUUUACUUUGUGCAAGGAUAGACGACAGAGAGAAAGCAGGAUAUAUUGCAUGCACAAUUGCCGUGAGUAUCUUUUCUAUCAUUAUUUUUUUCUUUUCCAAUUUUAUGAAAGCCAUCCUUCCUGCCUUGUAUUGAUCAUCAAUUUAACCAUUAUAUAUAUGUAUCUUAUGUAUUUGUACCAUGCUUUAUCUUCAAUGCAAAUAUAAGUUAAACUACAAAGAUUGGAUUGUUAAAAAAAGUUUAAAAUGUUAAAAAAAUUGAAAAUUUUGAUUUUGUAAGAAUGAUAGAAAACCAAGGCCAGUGCUUGCAUAUGUUAUCUACUACAUGCACAAUCGGGUCGAUGUCUGUAUAUGUUUCAUGUUUAGAAAUCGUGUUCAAUUGGGUUACGAUAUGUACAAUUGAAGUGUCAAUUUAUAAUUUCCUUAUCAAGAUUACACAUUUUUUUGUUAAUAUUCGGAAUCACUCAAUGGUUAUAAACCCUGAUUGGAUACUGUCCACAAAGUCUAGUUGGAACAUCCCUUGUAUUCUUUGUCCUUUCUAAGAACUUUCCUUUCCAUCAUUCUCGCUUCUGUUUUUUUUUUCUUCCCUCUACUUUAAGUCAUUAUCUAACGUAGAUAUCCCUUGUAUUCUUUGUCCUUUCUAUGGCAAUCGAGUCAAUUGAUGGCAAGCCAAAAAAACAAAAAGAGCAGCUAUCCUGUCUUACUCGAUUGCCAUCCCUCCUGUUAAACACCAUUAAGAAAAGGAAAAUUUUAGUUAAGCUUUAAAACAGCCAUGUUUUAACGAUGUUGGUGAUGGUGCUUGUGCAGGCCCUUCUUGCUACAAUUACAAUUAUUCUUAGUGCAACAAUUAAAGCUGGUGGGUGAUAAAGCACACCUCUUUUGACUGAGAGAUGUAUAGGUUCCCAAAUAAUAUGUAUAUGCUCCCCCCCCUCCCUUUAUUUUAUUUUAUUUCCAGUAAGUUAUUGUUUAUGAUAAUUUGCAACAAAUGUUUUUGUCAUUAUUUUGUUGGUGAAUGAUAAUAAGAUUAAGCUUUACUUUCUUAAGCUCCAAUUCCUUGGACGUUGGUGAUUUUUUUAUUAUAGUUGAGUCAUUGUAUGGUAUUAAUAUAAUUUAUGUCGCUUAAAAUUUAUAACUAAAAAUAUAAAAUUUAAAUUUUACUUCAAUUUAUUUGUAUUUAUAAAUGGUUAAUUCAAACUUAUUUUUUUCCUCAUUAUAUUUUAUAUUUAAAUUAACAUUUAAACUAUUUUUCAUUAGCAAUGUUGUUAAGAAUUAUAUUUUUUAGCACCAACAUCAAACUUACUAAAAUUAAAUUUUUAACUAUUUAAAAAAAAUAUUUUUAGCUAUUUAUCAUCAUAGAGAAAAAAAGGUGACGUCACCACGCCUCAUGCUUCGACACCACAAACUAGACUCUCAUCACCCGUAUUUAUCAUCGAUUCAAAUUCCAGAACUACCUAAAAAUAUAUCUUCAAACUUCCUCUGGUUAAGUUCAUUGAUAGUCAACUUACUAUCAUUUCUAAAAAAAAAACAAAUAAAUUGGUUAAUAGUAAUCUCAAUGAUUCAAUUUUAUUCUUACCAGUAUCUGUCCUUUAGAAAGGGGCUUAUAAAAGGGGUAGAGGUGAGUAAACUUGAGCUUCAGCUUUCCACAAACACCUUAAUUUGAAGACACAGUUCUCUCAUACUAAAAAAGACAUGGAAGUUUACCUUGUAAUUAGAGAUUUGGUUUCAUUGCUUGUUGUUGGGUUAUUAAUGAUAUGGGGAUGCAGAACUUUAAACUGGGUAUGGCUGGCCCCAAAAAGGCUCGAAAGCUGCUUGAGACAACAGGGUUUUGCAGGGAAUCCUUACAGGUUCCUUUCUGGUGACAUAAAAGAGCUCUCAACUAUGAGCAGACAAACAAGAGCCAAACCUAUGCCUCUUAGUGAUGAUAUUGGGCCUUAUGUUGUUCCUUUUCAACAUCAAACUGCUAACCAGUAUGGUAUGUUUUUUUUGUUUAAUCUGCAAUUUAUGAUAAUUCUUUGUUAUUUAUGUAUGGAAUUUAUUGGGAGGAAAUGCAGGAAAGAAUUCAUUUACGUGGUUUGGUCCAAGACCAAGGGUGAACAUUACGGACCCUGAAAAAAUAAGAGAAAUACUUAACAAAUUUAAUGACUUCCAGAAGAUACAUACCAAUCCACUGCUUAAUUUGCUUGUAAGCGGCCUUGCUAACCUCGACGGAGACCGAUGGAGCAAGCGUAGAAAAAUCAUAAACCCUGCAUUUCAUCAAGAUAAGUUGAAGGUAUAGAAUAGUGAUGGGUAAUCAGACUUUACAGAAAACAUCAUACUUAAACCUAUGCUUUUCUGAUUUAGAAAUAAUUGGAUGCAGAAUAUGUUGCCAGCAUUUUAUCAAAGUUGUAGUGACAUGUUAAGCAAAUGGGAGAAGAUGGUGUGUACAAAAGGAUACAGUGAGUUAGAUGUGUGGCCUUAUCUCGUAGAUUUGACAAGAGAUGUGAUUUCCCGAUCUGCUUUUGGAAGCAGCUUCGAAGAAGGCAAACGAAUUUUCCAAUUACUAGAGGACCAACUCGUUCACAUAAUCAAAUUAAUACAAACUGUUUACAUUCCAGGAUGGAGGUAACCGUCAACUUAAUUUACUUGAAAAAGGUUGCAAAUGUUGGAAUUCGCUAAAUUCGUGUUUGUUUUCUUGAAGGUUUUUGCCAACGAAGACAAACAGGGAGAUGAAGAUGAAACACAGGGACAUAAAAGAGUUGCUUAUGGAAAUGAUAAAGAGAAGGGAGAAGGCAAUUAAAGCAGGGGAAGAGAGCAAUGAGGACUUGUUGGACAUACUUGUGGAAUCCAAUAUCAGAGAAAUGGAAGCAAAGAAUAUUGGGAUGAGCAUUGAGGAUGUGAUUGAGGAAUGCAAGCUGUUUUACUUAGCUGGCCAAGAGACCACUUCGGUCUUACUGGUGUGGACUAUGGUUUUAUUAGCAAGGUAUCCCGAUUGGCAAAGUAAAGCAAGAGAGGAGGUUUUGCAUGUUUUGGGUGACAGUAAACCUGACGCUGAUGGCCUUAAUCGUCUCAAAGUUGUAAGUCCCUAGCAUGUCUUUUGAAGGUCCGAUCAAUGAGGUCGACAACUCAAAAACUUUGUUUCUUUUUUCGCUAAUUCUACAGGUAACAAUGAUAUUGUACGAGGUUCUAAGGCUGUACCCACCGGUGGUUGAGCUAGAACGUUCCGUUCCAAAAGAAAUAAAACUGGGGAAUUUGUUGUUACCAGUAGGAACAGAAGUUUCGGUUCCGAUCCUGCUGAUCCACCAUGACAAAGAUCUUUGGGGCGAUGACGCACGGGAAUUUAAGCCAGAGCGGUUCGCGGAAGGGGUUUCCAAAGCAACAAAGAGUCAAGUCACGUUUCUGCCAUUCGGAUGGGGUCCUAGGAUCUGUAUUGGCCAAAAUUUUGCUAUGAUGGAAGCCAAAAUGGCGAUGGCUAUGAUUCUCCAACGCUUCUGGUUCGAGCUUUCCCCUUCCUAUGCUCACUCUCCUUACGGCAGGGCAACUCUUCGUCCACAGCAUGGUGCACAGAUAAUUUUACAUAAACUUGGCUGUAAUUGAAUUGUUAUGUAAACAAAUCUUUGUGAAAACAUAGCGUUUUAGUUUAUCGUCAAAGUCCGGUGUCUGUAAUGGUACAAAUUCGAUGCAUGAAUAGUAAAGUUUGAGAUGUUUGGUGAAGUCCGAAAUAAUAUGCAGAAAUUGAGUGUGGUAAUUAUCAAUCAAAUAAUUCGGUACAAAGACUUACAUGGAAAUUAAAGCAGGGGGAGUUGAAAAUGACUACUCUGCUUUGGGCAUCAAUUUAGAAAGAUUUAAAGUACAAAUGUGUUAUUAGUUAAGGGAUUUGUUUUAAAGAGGGAAUGACAAUUAAACCUCAUGGUUGAUUUGUGGAAGGGAACCGAUGAUGGGAUGAUUAUUCUUAGUGGUAAAAAAAACUAUUGUGGAGGUUAUUAUACUUGUUAUCAUCGGCUUAAAAUUCGAAUGGGUUCAAGUCGGAUUAUAUCGAGCUUGUAAGAUGAGUUCACGGAUCAAAUUUGCAUAAUAAAAAUACUUAAAUGAAAAAAAUUUCUAUUUUAGAGGGACCAGAGCCCCUACCAAUUCCCGGCUCAGCUACUAAACAAUACCCAUAUCAUAUAAAUAAAUACCACCAUAAAAAAAACUCAAAGAAAAACACUGACAAAUGAUAAAUAGAUAGAUGUUGGAUAAGUGUCCAAAAUAUGAUUUAAGUGAAGAUACAUGGGGUAGGUGUCACGGAAAUGUGAAUACAAGAAUACUACUAAUGGGAUGUGUACAGUUGAAUGUAGGGAGCAAAAAGAGGAGUGAAUCAUUUUGGUAACAUUGGGACAAGAAACAUAAUGAACAAAAUGGAAGGAGAGGAAGCUAGUAAAAGAAAUUUUUUGGGUCAUAUAAUUUGUUUGGCAUAUAUUUUUAUAAUUUUUAAAUAUCAUUUUGGACUUGAAUUAUAAUUUUUUUAUAUAUUAUCUUAAAAUUGUAUAAAUUUUAAGGAGUUAAAACAAAAUUAUUCUAUUUUUAGAUGGUUAAAGUAGAGAUGAUAAUGGGUUGAGCUAUUCGGCCCAGCCUGACGAUCCACCCGAAAAAUAGGAAGGUUUGGGUAAAAAUAUAGGCUUGAAAUAUGAAUUUGAGCAAAAAAAGAGGCCCGUUUAGAAAAUGGGCCGAGCCUCGGGUAAAACCUUUUGGGUCUAGACCUGACCUAAAUUAUAUAUUAAAUAUAUAUAUUUUUAUUUUUAAUCAAAUAUACUUUUGUUUUAUUAUUAAUUUGGUUAUUAUUUUAGUUCUAAUUUGUUUCAAUUUUAAUAUAACUACUUUUUAUUAUAUUUUCAAUUUGUGCAUUGUUUUAAGAAUUAUUUUAGUCUCAUUAUUUAUUUAUUUUUUAUUUUAAUAUUUGUUUUAAAAUUUUUUAUUUAUUGAAAUAAGCUAAAAAAAUUAAUAUGGGUUGGACCAGACCGGGCUCGGGCCUAGUAAUUUUCUUUUGGGCCGGACUUAAACAAAUUUUUAAGCCCAUAUUUUGAAUUGGGUCCUACACUAGAAAAUGGACCUAAAAUUUUGUAUUACCUUUAGGUCAGAGCUAUCCUCGUUUUGCAUUUCUUUGAGAUUCAGCCUUAUUUACUUUUGAUUGCCCACUCAAUAGAGGGUUGAGUAGAAAUAUUUGGUGAAGCAAGCUAAGCUAUCAAUCAAGGUGUGCAUAAUUAUUUAAAUGUAAUUCUAAUAUUAAAAUAAAAUUUUUAUUAAUAUAGUAUCAACAAGCAUUAAAUGUAAUCAUCAUAUACUAUUAAAUUUUCAAUAAGAGAAAACAAGCUUGAACUUUAAAAACGAUGUUACUAAAAACAUUAUCACAAAUCUUGAAAUAUAAAAAAUACUUUUUAAUAUAAUAAAAAAAUAAUUUUAAAACCGAGAUGAAUAAAAUUCUAAUUUUAAUUAAUGAUACCAACAACAAAUCAAUAUUUAAAUUAAAAUUUAUCUUAAUUUAAUAUAAUAAAAUUGGACUUGAAUAUUGAAUUUUUGAGUCUUGGGCAAAGUAGAGGUGCUCAUGGGCCGGGUUGGGUCGGGUUUGGGAAAAAUUUCGGCCCGCAUCCUAGGCUCGGGCUCGGCCCGACCCAAAUAUGGGCCUAAAAUUUUGUCUAGGCCUAGCCCGGCCCGGCCCAACUCAUUUUUUUUAAUAAACACCAAAAAUUUAUUUUGAAAAUAAAAAAAUAAAAAAAGUAUUUUAAAAAUAUUUUAAAAUUUUUAAAAAAUAUAUAUAUUUAUUAUAUAUUCGGGCCGGGCCAGGCCCGAGCCAAAAAAGUGGCGCCCAAGGCCCGGCCUGUUUUCUAAACGGGACUCAUUUUUUACCCAAACCCAUAUUUCGGGCCUAUAUUUCUACCCGAAUCUCUCAUAUUUAGGGCGAACCGUCGGGCCGGACCGGGCCGCCCGGCCAUGAACACCUCUAGGACAAAGUCACUCAAUGAAUGCAUGGAAAGAAAUAAUGCAACUUGGUGAUAGCUUUUGUUGGAGUUAUAUGCUUUUUUUUUACGUAGUGGAACUUUCGGUGGAUUUUCAAGUUUCAUGAACUUUAUACUCUAUGCUUUACGUGAAAAAAAAAAUUCAUUGGACUUAAAAGUCUACCAAAAGUUUCACUAAAAAAAAAACCAUUGCUACAAGAUUACAACAUAAAGUUACAAUAAGAGCUUAUAACUCAACAAAGGCUAUCAAUAAAUAAUCUCAAACAAAUUAAAGAGAAAUGUUGAGAGUACCACUCGAAUAGUGAUUAACUUUAAAAAUUGAAAACCCAAAGUUAUAAUAUCCCAAACGAAAUCAAACCAUAAACAUUAAAUUUUUCGAGUCUACUAGAUACUGCAAAAAAUUCAGCUCCAACAGACACCAAAUGAACCUAUGAUCGAAGAAAAUACGAAAACUAGUCUAGCUAAAUCAAGCUGCCAAACUUACUUUUUAUCUUAUCUUUAAUUUGCUGUGAAAUUCAAAACUAAGGUUUUGUACUUAGAACAACUUUCAAAAAGUUAAUUUUGAAAAAUGGAUUGAAUUUUCAAAAUAGAUGAUAUUUUAUUGUGUUAAAAUUUUAUUCGUUGUUUGAAAAAAAAUUUAAAUCAUUUUCUUAGAAUUAUUUUUAGUGAAACAAACAUAUCAUAAAUAUAUUUGUUAUAAAAUAUUUAUAUUAAUAUUUUCUUUUAACAAUUAAAAUAUAUUUUGUGAUAAGGUAUAUUUUAUAAUAAUUAAUAUCAUAUAUACUUAAUAAUAAAUCAUGUCUAAUUAAAAUUUAAUUUCAAUUAAAUAUAUUAAUAAAGCUACAUAUAAUCAUAUUUUAUAUAAUAAAAAUAUUAAUAUAAAUAUUUUUUUAAUAAUAUAUUAAAGAAUAUUUAAAAUUUAAAUUUAUUAUUACUAAGAUUAAUUAUUAAAAUAAAAAUGUAAUGUUAAAUAAUUUAUCCAAUGAUAAGUUAUAUUAAUAAUUUAUUAUAUUAUUAAAUAUAAAUAAUUAAAUAUGUAUGUUUAAUAAUAUUAUGUUAUAAUAUUUAUUAUUAAUAUUUUAAUAUUUUUAAACAACCAUGUUUUAAAGAUGGUGGUGAUGGUGAUGGUGCAGGCCCCCUUGUUACAAUUACAAUAUUUUUAAGUGGGAUGCAUGUAAUAUAUUGUUAGGGUUUUAGAGUGUGUGGUCUUUAAAAGGGUUAAAUUAUAUAUUUAUAUAAUAUGAUUAUUGUUUAUAAAUAUAAUAUUGUAGAUAAACUUUUAUGCAUGUCAAUAUGUAUCCUACUCUGGGGUUAAUAUGUAUUUUUAGAUAUGGAUUCACCUAUAUAAUAGUAUGAAUCCAUCAUGCGGUCUCAUGAAAUAUACAAACACAUAUCGUGCGAACACAAAGUACGAACAAUAAAAAGUACAAAUCAAGACCAAUUGAGUAAUUGAAUAGCAGAUAGGUAAUAAUGACUAUCCCCUCUUGUUUGAAUUUAUUUUAUUUCCAGUGAGUUAUCGUUUAUGAUAAAUUUACAACAAAUGUUUUUAUCAUUAUUUUGUUGGUAAAUGAUAAUAAGAUUAAACUUUACUUUCUUAAGCUCCUUCAAUUCUUUGGACGUUAGCAAGUAAACUUGAGCUUCAGCAUUCCACAAACACCUUAAUUUGAAGACACAGUUCUCCCAUACUAAAAACAACAUGGACGUUUACCUUGUAAUUAGAGAUUUGGGCUCAUUGUUAGGUUAUUAAUGAUACGGGGAUGGAGAGCUUUAAACUGGGUAUGGCUGGCCCCAAAGAGGCUCGAAACGUGCUUGAGACUAGAGGUCCAGGCAAAUUUUUAGGCCCAUUUUUUAGGCCUGGACUGGGCCCGACUCGAAAUAUGAGCUUAAAAAUUUGUCUAAGUUCGGUCCAAAAGAAAAUUGUUAAGCCUAAGCCCGGCCCAUAUUAAAUUUUACAACACCAAAAAACUAUAUAUUUAAUAUAUAUAUUUGAUUAAAAAGUAUAUUUAAUUAAAAAUAAAAAUAUAUAUUUAAUAUAUAAUUCGGGCCGGGCCGAACUCGGGCCAAAAAAGUUUUACUCGGGGCUGGUCCGUUUUCUAAACAGACCUCGUUUUUUUGUCAAAAUCCAUAUUUUAGGCUUAUAUUUUUACCCGAAACUUCCUAUUUUUCGGGUGAACCGUCAGGCCGGACUAGGUAGCCCAACCAAUGAUCACCUCUACUUGAGACAACAGGGUUUUGCAGGGAAUUCUUACAGGUUCGUUUCUGGCGACAUAAAAGAGCUCUUCACUAUAAGCAUACAAACAAGAGCCAAACCUAUGCCUCUUAGUGAUGAUAUUGGGCCUUAUGUUGUUCCUUUUCAACAUCAAACCGUCAAUCAGUAUGGUAUGUUUUUUAAUUUAAUCUGCAAUUUAUGAUAAUUCUUUGCUAUUUAUGUAUGGAAUUUAUUGGGAGGAAAUGCUGGGAAGAAUUCAUUUACGUGGAUUGGUCCAAGAUCAAGGGUGAACAUUACGGACCCGGAAAAAUAAGAGAAAUACUUAACAAAUUUAAUGACUUCCAGAAGGUACGUACCAAUCCACUGCUUAAUUUGCUUGUAAGCGGCCUUGUUAACCUCGAAGGAGACCGAUGGAGCAAGCAUAGAAAAAUCAUAACCCUUCAUUUCAUCAAGAUAAGUUGAAGGUAUAGAAUAGUGAUGGGUACUUAGACUUAAUUUACAGAAAACAUCAUACUUAAAUCUAUGCUUUUCUGAUUUAGAAAUGAUUGGAUGCAGAAUAUGUUGCCAGCAUUUUAUCAAAGUUGUUGUGACAUGUUAAGCAAAUGGGAGAAGAUGGUGUGUACAGAAGGAUACAGUGAGUUAGAUGUGUGGCCUUAUCUUGUAGAUUUGACAAGAGAUGUGAUUUCCCGAUCUGCUUUUGGAAGCAGCUUCGAAGAAGGCAGACGAAUUUUCCAAUUACUAGAGGACCAACUCGUUCUCACAAUCAAAUUAAUACAAACUGUUUACAUUCCAGGAUGGAGGUAACCCUCAACUUAAUUUACUUGAAAAAGGUUGCAAAUGUUGGAAUUGGCUAAAUUCGUGUUUGUUUUCUUGAAG